AAAAUUUUAGUUUAUUUAAAACUAUCUAUUUACAUUAGGUUAAUUAAUUUUUAUUAAAAUUUUA
rnacentral:tRNA from 1 species